GGAAGCCCGCCCUGCGGGAGGGGCAGGUCCGCUCCCAAACCAGGACCCCGCUCCGGAAGGAGGAGCAGGCGCUCGCCCCGCCCCCGACUGCCGAGCCCGCCCCACCCCCUGUUGCGGAGACCGCUCCGCCCCCUGCCGUGGGGACUGCCUGGAGGAGAGACUGAGCGCGGGUUGGUGUGCUGCUGGCUGUCAGGCUGCCGUCUUUGGCGGUUGCCCGGGGCCUGGGCCUGGAAUCGAGCACCACAUUUGGGAGCUCGUCCGGGAUGGAAUAACAGCCCACCGACUCAAUUCCUGAGGACUGAUUCACUAAAGAGUAAGUACUGGAGGCUCCCAUUCGAUUUAGAGUGGUACCACCAAGUCUUAACUUUAGUUAGGAGAGGAUGCCCUCUUCCUUGGGAGGACGAAUCCUUGCUGGAAGUCCUAGAUCAUUGGUUUUGGAGUCUCUUGACUCAUUUGGAUCUUGGACCCCAGCAGGGCCACCCUCCAUUUUGAUAUCAGAAUUUGAAGGGAAGCCUCCAGCCUAAAUUCAUUUGUUCUGCCAGAGAAAACCUGUUUUGAUUUUUAUCAGUACUGGUGGUUUUGUCUUUGUUUUGUGUCUUUGUGUAGUUCUGUCUGUCUUUUGUCUCUUUGUUUUAACUUUUCCCUUACAGGACAAAAUGGGCCAGUCUGGCACAAAGCCCACCCCUACACUCCAUAGACUUGUCCUGGAUCAUUUUAAGGAAUUUAAGAAGCUGGCCGAGGGAUAUGGGGAGCCCAUUUUCAAAAGGAAACUAAUGGUUUUUGCUUCUCAGGAGUGGUUGAUAGGGACAAAUGGUAUUUGGCCCCUGACGGGGUCAUUUGACAUGGGAACAGCUCAAGUGGUCCAUCGGUAUGUAUUUGGGCCCCCUUCUCACCCAGACCAGAUUGUUUGCAUUCAGAUUUGGAUAGAUCUCAUCUAUGAUUCUCCACCGUGGAUUUAUCGUUCCCCGCAAGCAGAGGUGAUGGCAGCAUUGAAAAUGAAACCAAAAUCGCCUGCGUCUGACUCCCAGCCCUCUGCUCCAGUCUUACCCUCUGCGAAGGACCCUCUGGAAGACGUCCUCCUUUCUCUCCCAUAUCCCCCCUCCCGGGGACCCUUCACCGGACACCUCCUCCUGCCCUCCCAGUCCAGUCUGGACCUGGAGUAGGCUGCAGCCAAAUUCGCCUAACUCCACCACAGUGGCAUCAGGGCUCUACCCUCUGGGAGAUUCCCAACCCUAGGAACCCAGGGGACUCAAUCUUUGUCUAUACCCCUUUCGCCACUUCUGAUUUGUACAAUUGGAAGGGCCAAAAUUUCCAUUCUCCAAGGACCCUGAAAACCUUAUUAGUCUAAUUGAUUCUAUUUUUUCCACCCACCAUCUAACCUGGGACGACUGUCAGCAGAUUUUAAGAGUCCUCUUUAAUUCUGAAGAGUGAACUCGCAUCUGAGCUGUACGAUGGAAAGGCAUCUUGGACCCCGAUGGAACCCCCAUGACCGACCCGGGACGACUGGAACACUUGUUUACUUUGUCCUGCCCUGACUGGGACCCCAACACAUCCAGAGGUAGGGAGGCUUUGACCCAGUGUCACAAACUGUUUCUGGCAAGCACUCAGUGGAGCAGCUAAGAAGCCCACAUAUCUGUCCAAGGUAUCAGAGGUAAGGCAAUUGGCUAAUAAAUCCCCUUCUGCAUUCUUAGAGCACCUCCUAGAGGCUUAUAGACUUUAUACUCCAAUCUAUCCGGUGGCAAGGGCCAUUAACAUUGCCUUUGUGUCUCAGUCAGCCCCAGCUAUUAGAAAAAAAUUACAGAAAUUAGAGAGAUUUGAGAGAAUGCCCCUUGGUCAAUUGAUAGAAAUAGCACAUAAGGUAUUUGACAACAGAGAGAACUGACGAGAAGAAAUAAUAAAAAAGUCACUAAGGUGCUAGAACUGUUAUGUGAAAAGGAAAACAAGCAUUGCUUUUAGAUCCUGACUCUGUUUCCCUCAAGUCCUCGGCAGCCCCGAAUACAGCCACAUUGUUGCCCAAUGAGGAUCUGUCAGCCCCGUACCACGAAUGCUCUACCUUGAUCGACAGCUACCAGAGCCUCCAACCCAAAUUGACUGACAAACCUCUAGAAGGGGCACCAUCAUUCUUUUCAGACGGUAGCAGCAACAUGUACCAAGGUAAAUGAGUUGCAGGGGCAGUUGUGACCUCCAAGACCCAGAUUUUAUGGGCACAGAGACUGGACUCUGGCACUUCUGCUCAGUGAGCUGGACUCAUCACUUUGAUAGAAGCCUUGAAGCUGGCUGAAGGUAAGCAGAUUAACAUCUAUACCGGUAGCCGAUAUGCCUUUGCCACUGCUCAUGUGCACAGGGCAAUUUAUCAGGAAAGAGGACUAUUGACCUCAGCAAGAGAUAAAAUAAAAAAUGCCUCACAAAUACUAGACCUGCUGGCAGUGAUUUGGUUACCCCAGCAAGUGGCCAUAAUGCAUUGCAAGGCCCACCAAAAAGGAGGUGAUCCCGUUACCAGGGGAAACAGUCUGGCUGAUAUGGCAGCCAAAGAAGCUGCCAUAAAAUCAGUGGGGUCUGAAGAAGGGGAUACGGAGGAAACUAUUCCUACCCUCUUGCUGAUGCCUCCAAUGUUAUCAGAACCUGUGUAUACACAGAAGGACCUCCACCUGGCCACCCAACUUCAGGAAAAGCCUGACAUUCCAGGAAGCUGGUAUCAGUUACCAGAUAAAAGAAUCUUGCUACCCGAAGUCCUCAGACAAGAGCUCAUUCAAUAGGCUCACCAGUCCACCAAUUUGGGAGGAUCAAAACUAGCCAAGCUCUUUCAGGACCCAUUCUUUAUACCCCAAUUGUCCAAAUUGACAGUGGCUGCUAAUUCAAGAUGUCCUCAGUGCCGACUAGUUAAUCCAAAGGGACAACUCCACUUGAAAAGUAUUCGUUUUUGGGGAACUUCCCCAGGAGAACACUGGGAAAUAGACUUUAUAGAGAUGAAAAAGCCAGGUCUACAAAGACAUAAGUACCUACUAAUAAUGGUGGUUGAUACCUCACUGGGUGGGUAGAGACAUUUCUCACCGGAUCAGAGUCAGCUCUCAUAGUAGUCAAGUAAAUUAUUAUUUGAGAUCAUCCCUCAUUUUGGUUUGCCCUUAUCCAUGGGGUCUGAAUGGCCCAGCUUUCAUAGUCCAGGUAACCCAAGAGUUAACCCAGGCCUUGCAGAUUGAUUGGAAGCUUCAUUGCGUGUACCGGCCUCAAAAUUCAAGGCAAGUAGAGAGAAUAAAUCAGUCUUUUAAAAAAUUUUUGACUACAAAGCUGUCCCUAGAAACCGGCAAUAAUUGGGUAAGUCUCUAUCCCUUUGCCCUCCUGCGAACCCAAUGUACCCCUUAUGUUUCUGGUGUAUCCCCUUCUGAAGCAAUGUAUGGGAAACCCCCUCCACUCAUUCCAAAGCUCUCUGAGGAAAAAUUGGCAGAAUUAAUUAACCAGGAUCUCAUUAAGUCCCUACAGGCUCUUCAGCCUGUUCUGACUUCUACACAUUGAUUAUUCUGGCUGAAGCAUCCUCCAGUGGAUUCUCACCCCAAGUCCAGCCCACUGGUGGAGCCCAGUGCUUUGAUCCUUGUUAAACAUCACCACUGGGACACCCAUGAGCCUCGUUGGGAGGGACCCUACACCGUGGUGCUCACCACUCCAGCUGCAGUGAAGGUGGCCGACAAGAUGCCCUGGAUUUACCACUCCAACGUUAAGGUCUUAGACACCCAAGGAGAUCACCCCCAGGACAACUGGCGCAACCAACUGGUAACCCUCUAAAGUUGAAAAUAACUAAGUACUUUAGUUGGGUCUACCUCAUCUGAAGUAAGUGAAAUAACUAAGUGUACUUAACUGUGUUAAACAUGUCUUUCCUCACCGUGCUCCUAGCCUGAUUGUCUCUGCUUCUUCUAAGCCUGUACAUGCACCCAGUUGGGGGACUUGGGUUAUAUAGAUCAGGUUACCCACUCAAUGCUAGGAAAAAAUGAAACUGAUCAGGCCACAGUUACACUAGAUUUGUGUACAUUGCUCAAUUAUUGAGCUGAGAGACAAAGUGACCCAUGGUCCGGACCCCCCUAUAAUUAUUGCAGGGAUGUCUACUCGGCUAAGGGACUCAAGGAUACUCAGAUACACUUGUGCCCCAAGGACCAACCUGAUCUCACCAGCUCUGCUUAUUGUGGAUAUACCUUCUAUAAGGAAAUGCAUUGUUAUGCUUGGUCUUGUACUUCCUGGGUAGCAGGAUACAACUCAGAAAAAUAUCUCAGGUUAACAAAGAGGCAUAACUCUUGUACUUCCAAAGAUGCCUGUAACCCCAUCUCCUUGACAUUUCAGCAGCCUACAGAUCCCAAAUGGAAGUCAGGAUUAACCUACAGGGUCCGCCUGUAUAUAACUGGCAUAGACCCCAGAAAUACUUCUAGGGUCCAAUUCACACCAACAAUACCAUCUAAGGUUACCAUGGCCCCAAAGGCUAGACAAAAAAAAUCUAGCAACCCAGGGGCCCAAAAUUGCUUCAGUUCCCACUCACAGCACACCUCCUCGUUCCAACCUGACCCAGCCAGCGUCUGACCUGUUUUCAUCGCUUGAGGUAGCCUACCAACUCCUAAAUGAGACCCACAUGAUUGGGAACCUCACCCCUUGCUGGCUUUGCUUAUCCCCAGCACCUCCCUACCUAGAAGGAUAUGUUAAGACCAGUGGUACUUUAGCUGGGUCUACCUCAUCUGACCGUCGCUGCUGGGGGACUAAACCAAAGGUUUUAUUGAGGGACCUCUUCCUGACAGAAGAAAAUGGGACUUGCAUAUAUAGUCAAUCCAGUAUUCCUCCUAAGUAUUGUAACUUGUCAGUCUCAAUCCUCAUCAAGAGCAGCCACCAUACCCAACCCAAUUGGUAUGUGACCAUCCCUGAGGACCACUGGUGAGCCUAUACCUCUGGGUUGACCCCUUGUGCUUAAGCAACUGUCUUCAAAGAAAAUACUAAUGAGAUAUGUGUUCUCGCUCAGGUAUUACCCAGGUCUGUUGGCACCUAGAGACCGAGGGAAACUCAGCCCUUUUUCGUGAACAUAAGAUAACCAAAAGGAGCCCUCUCCUCCCAAUAGUAGCUGGAGUCAGUAUAGUAACUGCCCUCGGACUAGGGGCAACCUCACUGGGAAUGGGCUUAUACCAUAAUUACUUUCUAGCUAGACAAGAGGACUCAGGCCUACAACAGCUUCACAAUGCUGUUGCUGCAUUAGAAACAUCCAUUGAGUCUCUGGUGGAAGUGGCUUUACAAAACUGUUGGGGGGCUUAGACUUGUUAAUGGCUAAACAAGGAGGGCUUUGCCUAGCCUUGGGAGAACAAUGUUGCCUGUAUGCUAGUAAGUCUGGAGUUAUUAGGCAAAGCCUAGCAGAGUUACAGCAAAGGCUGUUAGAAAGAGAAAGAGGGGGGGAACUCAAGGAUGGAUGGAACAAAUGUUCUUCUCACCCUGGGUCACUAGCCUAAUAGCAACAUUGGCAGGACUCCUCAUGAUUGUCUUGUUGAUAGUCACUAUAGGCCCCUGUAUAAUCAAUAUGUUAGCCUCCCAUAUUAGGCAGAAGAUACAAGGUAUAAGGUUAAUGGUGCUACACCUCAAGGAUAUGAAAUGUUAUCGGUUCACCACCUCGAGCAGUCCUAAGCCUUCCCCAAAGAUUUGGAGAAGAAAACAUAAAAUCAGUGGGGAAUGUUGUAACCUGUAAAAACUCUAGACUCAUAAAAAUUCCCCUAGAGACAAGGAGGGCCAAGAUAGCCUUGGGAACAAAACAGAUUGUACUAUCCCAAGAGGAUGUUUGCUAAGUCUUAACAUGCUUGCUUGUUCAACCCCCACUUGAACCCUGCCCUUUAGCUGUAAGGUGCAGAGUCUUCCAUAUUGGCUACUAGAGGCUGCGUCGCCAGGCCUGUGCUUCAAAUAAAUAAUCUUUAAAAUUCUUUUUCUCUGGCUCUUCUUUAAGCACCACAAUUGGGAGGAAAGAACUGCAGUCCCUUCAGCUACCCUUUGGUGCUUGUCAAGACAAGUGUUACAGCCACACUCAGUGACAAACACCUAAAAUCCUAGCUAGCAGUCUGGGAGGCUGACUCAGAAACAUUGCAAAUUCGAGUCUGGCUUGGGCAAUUCAGUGAUUCAGCGAGACCCUGUCCAAAAAAAAUUUUUUUUUAAAUUUCUUUAAGGGCUGGAGAUGUAGCUAAGAGAAAAAUGUGACAAAUAUUAUUUGAAUUGUGAAUUUGAUUAUUUGGGGACCUAAAUCAGAGUUGGAAAUAAUAAUGACAUUUAGCUUGGAAUAUUUCUUUAGCUAUUGUAGUGCAGACAAGCAUUUGCUUUGACAGGCUCUAGUUUGGAUACUAAGGAUCCAGGAUGAGUCGAUCCUGACUUCCAAAAUUCACCUUAUUCUAACCAGUCCCACGAGAAUAGUAAGACUAGUGAAUUACCAAUGAGAAAAUUUAGGCUAAGUGAACUAAUGUGCUACAAUACAGUUUUGGUUUUGUUUUUUCAGCAGUGUCAGGGUUUGAACCCAGUUUGUACUGUGCUACAUCAUGAGUCCUGUGUUUAUAUUUUCCUUUUGAAACAAGGCUUCACUGUAAGUUGCCCAGGCUAAGCUGGAAUUUGGCAGUCCUCCUGCCAUAGCCGCUCAGAAAUGGUAGGUUUACAAGCCAUAGUCACAGUGCCUGGCUUCGCUAUUCAAACCCGAUCUGAGAAAGGUUAAGCAAUUUGUUAGUAAAAUAUAAGAAAAAGCCCAACGCCUUGGUGGGUUUUGGACACAAAAGUAUUUUCUUACCUUUUUUUGAACUACAAGAUGCAUGUUUGAACUAAAGCCAUAGGUACUAGCUCGUCUUGGAAGGUCUGUCUCAACAACCCAGAGAAGAGUGAAGUAACCAAUAGGAGAGUCUGAACUUGCAUGCACGUCCCUGCCUAAUGAAAUAGAAUGCAAUGUGAUGUGUCCUCAUCAAGGAUUGGUUAAUUCUCAGUUAUAUUACACAAUGGCUAGUUUAAAUAUGUUCUAGUGGUCACUUGUGUUUAAAGCCAAGAAUUCUAAGAUGUACUAGGAUGCUUGUAGGUUGGGGAAAUGUUGCUCAGCACUAGAGCAUUUGCCUAGCAUAUGCAAGGCCUGGGAUUCGAUCCCCAGAUUUGGGGAGGUGGGUUUUGUAUUGUAAAUUAGCCAAUUUCGGAGUUUAUUGACUCCUCCCCCUCUCUUGACACUGUAUUUCCUACAUCUUUGCUGUAUAGUGACAUCUUUUCAUCUCUAAGGCUUUUGAUUAUCUUUUGUUGUUCUUUUCAAUAUCUAUCAUUCCUAGUUUUACAUGCUAGGUUUCUUCAGAGUUUGCAUUCCUCUUUUCUCAGUUUUACUUUUCAUCUGUAUUUCCCUUAUGCACUUGUUUAAAAAUAUAUACUAAAAAGUGUAGCCUAGUGAAGUGUGCUGUAAUGCCAGCAAUCCAGAAGCUGAGGCAACAGGAUCACUUUAAAUUGAAGGCCAGCCUGAGCUAUGAAUAGAGCCCUUGUUUUCAAAAACAAUAAAAUAAAAUAUAAACUAACAAAAAAAUACUCCUAAGGAACUGUAUGUCCUGACAAGUCUUUUUCUGAGCUCUGGAUCCGUAUAACUGUAUAUGUCCUCAGGAAGAGAUCCAAUGCCAUGUUGUUACCCCAAAUAUAGUCCUUUUUGCCUCUCAAAACUGCAGAACCAACAAGAUCCAACACCAAUUCAGCAGUAGAGGAGAUUUUUAUUCUUGGCCAAGAAUAGGAAAAGGGGGAGCUGAACACACAGGUCAACUCUACAGCAUCUUAGGAUGUGGAGGUUAUAAACAAAUAUACUUUAAAAGAAAUGAAGAGGGGUGUAGGAGGGAUAUGCUCAUAGACUGGAAGAAUAUUCAUGUAUUUUCUGGGAAUGAGAGUGUAUUUGUGGUAAGUCUAGUUACACCUUUUCCUGUUCUUUUAUGAUUCCUUCAGGUCAUUGCCCUGGCAAUUGGUCAACUGUUUUGACACUAGCGUAGCAUUUAGCUGUAGAUGGAUUAUAAUGAAGUUAGAAGUUGUCUGGCAGUUAGCCUGGCAACCACCUUAGAUCUACUCAGUCUUAGCAAACCCACCCAAAAAGGAGCCUACCUUCCUGUCCUCAGUAAACAAGGUUGAGGUGAAUAAAACUCCUGUUGCUCAAGUACUGCAAGAUUAGGGCAAUGUGACAAUGUGGGCCCCAAACUCAGCAAGUCCUAACAAAGCUUCCCUCCCUAAAUUUUCAUGCCCAGUCUCACUGGUACCAUAGUGUUAUAGGGAAAAUAUUAGUUGUCACCAGUAAAUUACAGAUUUCUCAAAAAAUUAAAAUCUUGUGGAUUUCCAGGAGACCCUUUACCAGGUUUCAGAACUUGCUGAGAGUUUUCGUCAAGAGUAAAUGUUGCCCAGUCCUUUUUUCCUUUGGCUCUUGAGAUGAGUGUAGUUUUUGUUUAGUUUGUUAAUGUGGUAAAUUACAUUGUUCUUUGAUCAUUAAAUCAAUCCUGUAAACCUCAAAAAGACAUGGUGUAUUUUUCUAUUUGCUAAAAUUUAAUUUACUAAAAUUUUGACUUUUAAUUUUUGCGACUGUGUUCAAGAGGUAUAUUGUAGUUUUCCUGUAAUAUUUUUGAUUGAUUUUAGUAUCAGGCUAAUUCUAACUUCAAAUAACAAACUGAAAGUUUGUGUAAUUUGUUGUUCUUUCUAGAAGAACUGAUAUUUAAUUCUGUCUUCAAAGUUUAGUAGAAUUUACCAAUGAAGCCAUGUAGGCCUACAGUUUUCUUUAUGAUAGCAUUUUUAAUUAUAAAUUUCAUUUAUAAAACUGAACAUGGAGUGUAGGGGGCAGUAAGGAGAAACAAUCAGAUUCUUAUUAUUAUUGAUGUUGUUGUUUUUCUAAUCUGCAGAGAUGGAAUAUAUUUCUGUGCCAAAUGAAUGUUAAUUAUGAUUUGAAUCGUGAGCAUGCGCACAUCCAAAUCUUCAGUGAGGCAAUCAAUCAAUCAAUAAGUACGUAAAUGGACAUGGGGAUCAGGGAUAUGAAUUUGUGAGGUCUUGGGUUUAGUCUUCAGCAUAAGAAAAGAAAGAGAAAAUAAAAGAGAAGAAAAUAAAAGGGAUAUGAGACUAUUUGUGUUAUAUUACCUUUCUUUUUUUUUGUUUGUUUGUUUUUCCUUUUUAUCGGUACCGGGGAUCGAACUCAUGACUGCCUGCUUUCAAGGCAGGCGCUUAUGCUGCUGAGCUAAAUCCCCAGCCCCUAUAUUACCUUUCUUGAGUGAGCUUUGGCAAUUUGUUUUUUAAAGAAUUUGUUCAUUUUACUUAAAAUGCUAAAUUCAUAGGCAUAAGGUUGUUCAUGAUAUUCUGUUAUUUAAAAUAUAUUUUAUGAGUGCCUUUUCAUUUUAUAAAAUACUGAGUAUAUAUAUAAAUACAUGUACUAUAUAUGACAUUUUUAACAUAUCAGUCUUCCUUAAUACCCACUUUUAUACCCCUGUCCUCACCUUUCUUCUCUUGGUCUUUUCUAAUAAUAGUCUGUGCUCUACUUUCUUGCCAUACUUUCCAUCUAUGUACUGCUUUAGCAACAUCCCAUAAACUCCAACAUAUUGUCUUUUAUUUUCCCUCAGUUCAAACUAGUAUCUGAUUUUACCUUUUGAUUUCUUCUUUGACUAGAAGCAUAUACUUUUCAUUUUUCCAUAUUUUUCAUCUCUCCACUUCUCUCUGGUCUGUCUGAAUAUUUCCUAGCAUUAUCUCCACAGCAGCUUCAAUAAACUGUAGACAGUGGCUCAGACUCAUACUGAACUGGCAUCAACUCUAAUAGAUGUUGGCAAGGAGCUGAGUGGACUGAUGGGUCACACUUGGCAAAUUUGUCAGCACCUUUGGAUAUUUUCAACUCUAUAAUCCCCUUAUAAAGACAUAGCAAUACAAUCUUUCCCCCACAUACUGCUCCAAAAACUCUUCCAUAAAUUAUGUUAAAUUAGCUGGGCGUGGUGCCUCAAGCCUGUAAUCCCAGCAUUUGGGAGGCUGAGGCAGGAGGAUCACUGCGAGUUCGAGACCAGCCUGGGCUACAAAGUGAGCUUGAGGCCAGCCUGAACUGCAUAGCAAGACCCUGUCUCAAAAAGACAAAAAAAAAAUUAGGUUAAAUUGCGUGUUUGUUUGUUCCCUCUAUUUGAUUAAUAAUUCUUUAGGGCAUUCUGUUUUAUCCUUAAAGUCUAGAGGUCCCUGGGAAAUGCUUUUUAAAAAAAUAAUUACUAGGUUAGGAUCUAUGUCAUCCUUCAGAGGCAGAAACUGAGAAUUUAGCUGAUGAAGACCAUGUCAUUCUAAGUUCCCAGUCCUUGACACAGCUACCCAAAAUGAGAUUGUACACUUCCAGUCCAGGCAACUUAGGCACUUAAGGUGCCCCAAGGAAGUGAGCAAAAGGAGAAGUGGGAUGAUUGGGAACAUCAUCCCUCAGAAACAGGUAGCUACCACCUCAUAUUCCGUGUUUGGAGUCUUCAUCUGUAGGACUUAGGGUGGUUGGUAAUUUUUCCUCCUCAGGGUGGAGUCCAGAAAUCUGUCCCUAAACCACACAUAGAUGAGGCCUAUGCAGGUAGGAUAAGUUAGGAUUUGGGCUGUUUUAUACAGAACAAAGAGAGAAAAGAGUUUAUGGACAAGGAACAGUCCAGAGCAUAUCCCAGUAUUACUUCACCAUUUGGGAAGUCUCAUUCUCAAACAGCAAAACAUGCCAAAUUACAAAAAGGUUGAUGGGGUCAGGGCAGUGGAGAAUCUCACACAUCUCUGAGCUGGCACAUUUCAGGUUUCCAUACAGGGACACUUUCCAUUGAACUAGGGAAGCACAGGUUUAAUUUCCAAAUAGCUUGAAGAUUUUUCAGAUACAUUUAUACAACUUGCUUCUAAUUUAAUUUCAUUAUGUUCAUAGAUUUCAUGACUUGAAUCCUUUUAAAUGUAUUAAGACUUAUGGCUCAGAAUAUAACCUAUCUUGGUGAAUGUUCCGUAUACUUGAGAAAAAUGUACAUUAUGCUGUGUGAAAUUGCAAAUGGAUCAAGUUGGUUGAUAGUGUUGUCCAAAACUAUUUUUGCUGAUUUUACUCCUCACUUGUUCUACUAAUUAUUGAGACAUGAUACUGAAAUCUCUAUAAUUUUAUUUUUCUCAGCUUUUACUUUUUAUUUUUAUCAGCUUUUACUUCCUGUAUUUUGUUAUUAGGGCUAUAAAUGUUGAAGAUUGUUAUUCAUUGGUUCAUCAUUCUGAAAUGAUGUUCUUUAUCUCUGGUAAUAUUAUUUACUCUAACAUCUACUUUGUCCAGUAUUAAAAUAGCCAUGCCUGUUUCCUUGACUAGUGUUGGCGUGGGUAUCUUUUACAUUUUAACUUGUUUGUGUCAUUAAUAGCUCCAUUAGCCUCUCAGUGCAGUUCAAAAGUGCAGAGCAGGAAUCAUUCUAAAGGGUUGCUCACAACUCUGACAAACGAGCUGGAUGAGGACCAGAACAGCGCUGAGUCCUCCAUGUGGGCUUUACUCACAGCCACUUUAGGGUAACUGGAUGUCCUGUAUGUCAGCUCAGGACUUCUAAGGUGUAACAGUAUGUCAGAGUAUACAGUGGGUAGAAGUGUUAGAAGUCACACAAAUUCACUUUCCUGCAUUCUAUGUACUGAAUUAAUCAUAAGCAAUUAUUAGAUUAAAAGAGGGUGUUCUGGAAGAACAGGUGGAAUGGAAAUGUGAUACAAUGCUUGGAAAGCAGCCCUGGCAAUGUUUAAUAUGAAGGUUAAGCUGGGCACGGUAGCACAUACCUGCACUCUCAGCCUCAGAAAGCCGAGGCAGGAGAAUCACCAUGAGUUUCAUGUAACUCAGGGGAAGAGCACUUACUGGCAUGUGUGAGGUCCUGUGUUCAACUCCCCAGUAAUAAUAAUAAUAAUAAUAAUAAUAAUAAUAAUAAUAAUUGUAAUAGUAGUAGUCAAGGCAGGAAUUUUCAGAUUGAAGGAGACAACAGACAUGAUAGUUGAAUAAAAUGCAUGGUCCUGUAUUGUAGGCCUCUAUUUUUUUAUUUUUAUUUCACUUUUGCAGUGCUGAGCAUUAAACCCAGGGCCUUUGUACUGAGCUACACCCCCAACCCUUUAUUAGUUUUAAGACAGCGUCUCCAUAAGUUACUCAGUUGCCCAAGCCUGGGCUUAAACUUGCAGUUCUCCUGCCUCAAUCUCCUAGAAUGCCAGGAUUAUGGAAGUACAACACAAGCUCUGGCAAUUCUCUUCCUUUUUAAGGUGGAGUUAUCUUCUAUUUAUAAAUAUAUAUACCUCACUUUAUUUAUCCAUUAAUUGGUCAAUGGACAUUUGAGUUGCUUCUACAUCACUGUGAAUAAUGCUGCUAUUGGGGCGCUCAAAUAUUAAAAAGAAAAUAGAAGAGUUAAACAUGAGAACUUAUAAAAUAGUUUAUUGUAAAUGAGAAGAAAAUAAAGCUCUCCAGAUUUUGAAAUUAAGUAUGCUUCCUAUUAUUUUUUGUUUUGUUUCUGUUUUUUUGAGACAAAGUCUUGCUUUGCAGUUCAGGCAACCUUAAACUCACCAUGUAGUCCAGAAUGACCUUGAACUCAUGGUGAUCCUUCUACCUCAGCUUUCCAAGUCUAUUGUUGUUUAAGUAAUGGUAUAUUUUUUUCAGUACUGGGAAUUGAACUCAAAGCCUCACCCAUGCUAUGCAGACUCUCUAUCACUGAGUUACACCCCUAGCCCUUUAAUCAUAACACUCUAUAUAAAUUUUAAAUGUAGGAAAUUAAACUGUUUUCAUAUGUUGCAAUCAUGUAACUUCACAUCAUUUGUAAAUUUAAUAUUCUGACAAUAGGCAUCAAAAGGCUAUCAAACAUGUGUCAACUAAACACACUCAAGAGAGAAGACUUCUAGAACAUCAUCAGAAGAUGGGAAGAAGCCAGGCAUGGUAGCACACACCUGUAAUCUCAGCACUUGGGAUCCUGAGAAAGGAGUGGCCCUCCCCUCCUCUUUCUGUAAAAUCAUUUGCUCUACAAUAAUCCAGCUGUUAUGUCAAAAAACACGUAAGUAGCUUUUCAGAGACCCACAUGGCAAGGAACUGUGCUCUCUUGCCAUUGACCAUGUGAAGUGAGCCACUUUGGGAAGUGGAUCCACUAAUCCUAAAGAAGUGCUCAAAUGACUGAAAAGCCGGCUACACUGUAAUUGCAGUCUCAGGAGAGGUACCAGGCCCCAUCCAGGAAGCCAUUUCCUAACCAACAGAAACCAUGAGAUGAAAUGUUUGUUGGUCUAAGCUGCUAAGUUUUGGGGUAAUAUGUAACCUGCAAAGAUAACACAUAAACUUGGGAAGGAUUUUUAUAAAAGGUACAUGUAGCUAUUAGUAGGAUAAACCUGUAUUUUAGCUGAGGCAGGAGGACCUCAAGUUCAAGCCCAGCCUGAGCAAUUUAGCAAGACCCUAUCUCAAAAUAAAAAUGACUGGAAAUGUAGCUCAGCACUGUCUGGGUUCACUCUCCAGUCAUACCCAAAUAAACAAAGUCACACCUAGAAAAUAAGAAAAACCUUACAAGAGUGAAAGAGAGAAAAAAUUACUUAACAGAAAAAAAGGAAAAUAAGGUUUAAAAUUAUAUGUUAUUAGCAAUAGUAGAAGCUGCAACUCAGAAACUACAAUUUCUACAUAAGCAAGUUUUGCUUACCUAAGGCUAUAGUUUGUAUAUGAAAUGUCCCAUAAGGCCCAUAUGUUAAAAGCUAAGACCCAUGGUAGAAAACCUUUGAGAGUUGGAGCCUCGUGGUAGGAAGUUGAGUCACUGGUAGUUUUGUUUGUUUUUGAGACAGGGCCUUGUUAUGCAGUCCAGGUUGCCCUUGAACUCACUAUGUAGCCCAGGUUGGCUGUGAACUCCAGGUAAGUGUUGAGAUUACAGACAUGCACCACCGUGCCUGUUUGGGUGUGAACUUUUAGACCUUUAGAGGUGGUAGGCGGCCCUGGCCCCAUCUUGCCUCCCUCUCUCUCUCUGUCUCUCUGCUUCCCAGUAACCAUAAAGUGCACAUUUCUCCCCACUAUGCACUCCCACCACAUACUACCUCACCACACUCCCAAAGGCAAUGGAGCCAAGCAAAUGGAGGUGCAAACAUUUGAAAUUGUGAGCCAAAAUAAACUCUCCUUCCUUAUAACUGCUUAUCGCAGGUAUUUUGUCACACAGAUGAAAAACUGGCUAAUACCUCCAUUACUCUAUUUUGAAAAAUAACCCCAUCAUGACAGUGCAUACUGAUAGUCCAGUUACUUGAAAAGCUGAGGCAGGAAGGUCACUUGAGCCCAUAAAUUUGAGAUUAGCCUAUGCAACAUAAUAAGAUCCCAUCUCAAAAACAAAACAAACACAUACAAAUAAUGGAAAUACAAUGAUUUUUCCAUUACUAUAAACCACAUGAUUAUAUAAAAUGCAGCAGCAUUUAAUCAUAAGGGCCUCAAGAUCCAAGUAAUAAGAUAUAGAAUACAAAACAGAAUACAGUAUUUAAAUUUAAGUAAAUGGAAACCAUUAUGAAUGAGUCUGAAAUAUUUUAUAAAAUGAGUGUUAAAAGACAAAUAAAUGUCAUAUAUGUGUGAUAGCUCAGACCCUGGACUAAAAUCCAAGGAAGCAAGAAAUUAAAAUUUUGGGAGCAAAGGCUUUAUUUUAGGCCAGGCUUGGCGAUGCAGCCUCGGGGAGCCAAUAUGGAAGACUGCGCACCUUACAGCUAAAGGGUUGGGUUUUUAUUGUCUUUUUUUUUUUUUUUUUUUUUUGGUCUUUUUUUUGGUCUUUUUAUCGGGUACCGGGGAUCAAAUUCACAACUGCUUGUUUGCAAGGCAGGUGCUAUGCCGCUGAGCAAAAUCCCCAGCCCCUAAGGGUUAGGUUUUUAAAGCUGAAAAACCACAGAAAUGUUGUGAACUUUGACACAGUUUGAUAGCAUCUGGGCUUCUUGGUAUCUCCUGUAAUUUCCUUGUGGUUAAACGUUUUUUAAGAAACAGCACAUUUUAUUACAGAUAGGCUGAAGGGGGUAGGGGGGGUUACCAGAAACUGAAACUUAAGACU